UACGGAGGGUGCAAGCGUUAUCCGGAUUCACUGGGUUUAAAGGGUGCGUAGGAGGGCAGGUAAGUCAGUGGUGAAAUCCCCGAGCUUAACUUGGGAACUGCCGUCGAUACUAUCUGUCUUGAAUAUUGUGGAGGUGAGCGGAAUAUGUCAUGUAGCGGUGAAAUGCUUAGAUAUGACAUAGAACACCAAUUGCGAAGGCAGCUCGCUACACAUAUAUUGACUCUGAGGCACGAAAGCGUGGGGAUCAAACAGG
rnacentral:rRNA from 1 species